GUCACACAGCAAGAAGCACUGGAGCAAACCUAGGCAAUCUGCUUCCAGAGGCCCAUGCAAUCUGCUCUCAUAUUCUGCUUCUCAGAGGAGAGGAUGGUCAAAGGAGGCAGUCACCCAACACUUCAGGUCUGCAGCCCUGUGCAAGAGAAGCAAGGCCAUUGUUCCCAAGACCAACCCAAGAUGAUUAGAUGUACAGGGCUGGACAGGCCAAUCCUUAGGUCCCUGCAGGGUCUGACAUCAGAAUGGGGGUGUGGCACCAACUCCGGGUAAGUUUCAUGGCAAUAAAGCCCAUUCAUCUCAGCUGGACACCCCAGUCAGGUGAGAGCGGCCCCCACCUUCCCUUCCCAAGGAGCAGGAGAUGGCCACCAACAUCCAAUAAAUGAGGCAGUGCUGGGCACCAGCCUCAGGGGUAGAAGCCAGUUCAGAAUUCAUACAUUCAACAAAAUGAUUUGGAAUCGUGAAGUGUGAGCAGCUGGCAAACUGGAGCAAGCCCUCGCAGGGAGCUUUUAACUAAUGGAAAAUGAGAAAUCUUCCCCAGCAAAACCAAAGGGAGAUCCAAGAAGCCAUGAUUCCAGUUCUGGGCUCUCCGAAGUCCAGAGACAAGUUUCUGCCAACACAGACAUCUGUUCGAGAAAAGGCCAUUCAGGGCGCUCACCAAUAAGGAGCACGCAGCCUCUUCCAGCAAAUCCUGGUGGUGGACCCCACGGAGAGGCCCACCCUAGAGCAGGUAAUGGGGCACCCCGUGGCUGAGCCAGGGCGAGGACUCCUCAUCUAACCCUCCCAGCCCUCCCAGCCAGCCACUCCCAAGCGGCCUGACCCCAACAUCAUGACCUUAAUGCUCGACAUGGGUUAUAACCGGUACAAAGCCUGGUUGUCCCUGGCAAAUCAUCAAUUUGAUGGGGCCAUGGCUACCUACCUCCUCCUCCAGCACCAGAGAAUCCAGGGGCCGGCCAGUGCACUCUGGGCCAAGGCUGUGCAUAACGGGAUGGAUGGGCAUCGCCAGGUCCCUGGGGCGGAUCCGUCCAGCGUCCACCCCAACAAGUGUCCCAGUGAGCCUGCCCUUGACUUUCCCUGUGAGCAGCAGCUGCCUGAUAAAGCCAAGCCCUCUGAGCAGAAGGACACCGCAUGUGCCAGCAUGCCUGUCUGUCCUCUCCACCUUCUCCACAUGAAGACACCCCCUUCCAAGCUAGCCUCCCAGCGGGACCCUCUGGCCUCCCAGGGUGGCUCCACAGGGCAGCCAGGUGAGAAGCAGGGGCUGGAGGGGGGUCACCAGGCAGAUGGCCACCUGUCUGCAACAACUGUGCUGCUGCCUGCCGUGCUUCCUCGGCCCGCCUUCCGCAACAGAGUGGCUCUGAGGGUCGCAGGCCACAGUCCCCAUAGGUUCCACAACAGAGUGGUUCUAGGGAACAUGCCCACGCGAGACAGACCCAUGGACAGCCAGAAGACCCCCAGCCAGAGCAUCAGGACCUCAUGGCGCCAGCACUAGUCAGGAAGCAGACUCCAACAGCUUCAGAAGUGAGGCGCGCCAACUGGCUCAGGCUUCUCUGUGCAGAUUCCAGCCAGGAGCGCAUCUGGACCCACCAGGACUCUCCUCUGCCCCCACCUGCCAGAGACAUCAGAGACUCUCUUCCCUCAGACACUUCCCCCUGCCCUGCUCUUUGCCAUAGCAGAG